rnacentral:rRNA from 1 species
GACGAACGCUGGCGGCGUGCCUAAUACAUGCAAGUAGAACGCUGAAGGAGGAGCUUGCUUCUCUGGAUGAGUUGCGAACGGGUGAGUAACGCGUAGGUAACCUGCCUUGUAGCUUGGGAUAACUUUUGGAAACUAUAGCUAAUACCGCAUAAUAGUAGAUGUUGCAUGACAUUUGCUUAAAAGUUUCAAUUGCAUCACUACCAGAUGGGCCUGCGUUGUAUUAGCUAGUUGGUGAGGUAAAGGCUCACCUAGGCAACGAUACAUAGCCGACCUGAGAGGGUGAGCGGCCACACUGGGACUGAGACACGCCACAGACUGCUACGGGAGGCAGCAGUAGGGAAUCUUCGGCAAUCGAUGGAAGACUGAGCGAGCAACGCGGCGUGAGUGAAGAAGGUUGUCGGAUCGUAAAGCUCGGUUGUAAGAGAAGAAAGAGUGUGAGAGUGGAAAGUUGACAGUGUGACGGUAUCUGACAAAAAAGGGACGGCUAACUACGUG